rnacentral:tmRNA from 1 species
GGGGGCGUAAAGGUUUCGACGGGGGUCGUGAAGCUCGUUAAGCACGCGGAGUUCUCCUAAACUCCUUAAUAAUGGGUACUUUAAAAUUAAACGCAGAUUCUAAAACAGAACUUGCUUUAGCUGCCUGAGUGCAGCUCGUCCUGCCGUUGAGUGCUGCGGCUUCGGUCUGGGCGUGACACAGCAGCCAACGCCUCGGGUGAGUGCUCUGUAACCCGACGCGCUUUCAAAGAGCUGCCGGAGGUCUAUCCUGUCGUUCGGAGAGGCCGAAGGGAGAUAAAAAAGAUCGACUAAGCGUGUAGAAAGAUGUGUGGACCGGCUUUCGGACGGGGGUUCGACUCCCCCCGCCUCCACCA